UGGGGAAUCUUGGACAAUGGGGGCAACCCUGAUCCAGCGACGCCGCGUGGGUGAUGAAGGCCUUCGGGUUGUAAAGCCCUUUUGUCGGGGACGAUGAUGACGGUACCCGGCGAAUAAGCACCGGCUAACUCCGUGCCAGCAGCCGCGGUAAGACGGAGGGUGCUAGCGUUGUUCGGAAUUACUGGGCGUAAAGGGCGCGUAGGCGGCCUGGUCAGUCGGAUGUGAAAGCCCGGGGCUCAACCCCGGAACGGCAUCCGAGACGGCCAGGCUGGAGACCGGGAGAGGAGAGUGGAAUAGCCAGUGUAGAGGUGAAAUUCGUAGAUAUUGGCUGGAACACCGGUGGCGAAAGCGGCUCUCUGGCCCGGUUCUGACGCUGAGGCGCGAAAGCGUGGGGAGCAAACA
rnacentral:rRNA from 1 species